rnacentral:rRNA from 1 species
AAGGGUACCGCAGGCGGAUUUAUAAGUCAGUGGUGAAAUCCUAUCGCUUAACGAUAGAACUGCCAUUGAUACUGUAAGUCUUGAAUUCGGUCGGAGUGGGCGGAAUGUGUAGUGUAGCGGUGAAAUGCAUAGAUAUUACACAGAACACCGAUAGCGAAGGCAGCUCACUAGGCCUGAAUUGACGCUCAGGGACGAAAGCGUGGGGAUCAAACAGGAUUAGAUACCCCAGU